rnacentral:rRNA from 1 species
CCUACGGGAGGCAGCAGUGGGGAAUAUUGCACAAUGGGCGAAAGCCUGACGCAGCGACGCCGCGUGAGGGAUGAAGGUCUUCGGAUCGUAAAGCUCUGUCAGCAGGGAAGAACGGUCACUGUGCUAUUCAGCAGGGAAUUGACGUUACCUGCAAAGGAAGCACCGGCUAACUCCGUGCCAGCAGCCGCGGUAAUACGGAGGGUGCGAGCGUUAAUCGGAAUUACUGGGCGUAAAGCGCUCGUAGGCGGUAUGUCAAGUCAAGUGUGAAAUCCCCGCGCUCAACGUGGGAACUGCCUGUGAAACUGGCAAACUGGAGUGUGUGAGAGGAUAGUGGAAUUCCAGGUGUAGCAGUGAAAUCCGUAGAGAUCUGGAGGAACAUCAGUGGCGAAGGCGACUAUCUGGCACAUAACUGACGCUGAGGAGCGAAAGCGUGGGUAGCAAACAGGAUUAGAUACCCGAGUAGUC